AGUCGUAACAAGGUCUCCGUAGGUGAACCUGCGGAGGGAUCAUUACAGAGUUCAUGCCCUUCGGGGUAGACCUCCCACCCUGUGUAUUUAUACCUUUGUUGCUUUGGCGGGCCGCGAGGCUCCGGCCCUGCUCCCGGCUUCGGCUGGGGAGUGCCCGCCAGAGGACCCCAAAACCUGAAUGUUAGUGUCGUCUGAGUACUAUAUAAUAGUUAAAACUUUCAACAACGGAUCUCUUGGUUCUGGCAUCGAUGAAGAACGCAGCGAAAUGCGAUAAGUAAUGUGAAUUGCAGAAUUCAGUGAAUCAUCGAAUCUUUGAACGCACAUUGCGCCCCUUGGUAUUCCGGGGGGCAUGCCUGUUCGAGCGUCAUUACAACCCUCAAGCUCUGCUUGGUAUUGGGCGUCACCGGCUCCGGUGUGCCCUAAAAUCAGUGGCGGCGCCGUCUGGCUCUAAGCGUAGUACAUACUCUCGCUAUGGACGCCCGGCGGAUGCUCGCCAGCAACCCCCAAUUUUUUAAGGUUGACCUCGGAUCAGGUAGGGAUACCCGCUGAACUUAAGCAUAU
rnacentral:rRNA from 1 species